rnacentral:rRNA from 1 species
GAUGAACGCUGGCGGCGUGCCUAAUACAUGCAAGUCGAGCGAACAGACGAGGAGCUUGCUCCUCUGACGUUAGCGGCGGACGGGUGAGUAACACGUGGAUAACCUACCUAUAGGACUGGGAUAACUUCGGGAAACCGGAGCUAAUACCGGAUAAUAUAUUGAACCGCAUGGUUCAAUAGUGAAAGACGGUUUUGCUGUCACUUAUAGAUGGAUCCGCGCCGCAUUAGCUAGUUGGUAAGGUAACGGCUUACCAAGGCAACGAUGCGUAGCCGACCUGAGAGGGUGAUCGGCCACACUGGAACUGAGACACGGUCCAGACUCCUACGGGAGGCAGCAGUAGGGAAUCUUACGCAAUGGGCGAAAGCCUGACGGAGCAACGCCGCGUGAGUGAUGAAGGUCUUCGGAUCGUAAAACUCUGUUAUUAGGGAAGAACAAAUGUGUAAGUAACUAUGCACGUCUUGACGGUACCUAAUCAGAAAGCCACGGCUAACUACGUG